UCGGGGGUAGUUCAAUUGGCAGAACGCCUGGCUCUGGACCAGGAAGUUGGGGGUUCGAGUCCUCCCCCCCGAG
rnacentral:tRNA from 1 species